CAGCUCUUGGAGCUCACGCUUCCUUCUCCAAACUGAGAUGCCCUUACAGAGGUGCAUAAAACCUUGGCUUUCUGGGGCAAUAAAGGACUUGGUUCUGGAAUGCAGAAUCUCUCCUGUGGUAACAGAGCCAAAUGCACCGCACAGACAGGAGAGAGCUCGUGGUGCUGGAAGGAUCCCACCACGCUCUCUGAGCUGCAGGUGGGAGUGAAAGGACAUUAACACCAAUCCUGCAGGGACUGGGGGCACCUCUCCUUCCCUGGUAGGCGGGAGUGAUGUGCUCUGCCUUCCUCCUUCCACACGAAAACCCAUAGGAGGUGCCCAAAGAGGACAAAUCCUUAUAGAAGACUCUUCCUGUGUUUUCUCGCUGAACUUCAGUUUUCCUCAGACUUAUCUGAAGAGGACAGAGGUAUGAAAGAUGAAGUGAUGUUCCUUCCCAUGGCUCCACUGGGGAUGGGAGUAGAGCCAAACCUGGAGUGCAGGCUGAGCCAACCAGGGGCUAGUUGUUCUCCUUCAAAACAAGCUCCUAAGUUAUAAAACUCGCUCCCUGAUGGCUUCCACUGAAAAGGCUGAAAGCACAGCCUGUGUGCUCUGCAUGCAGAACAUGAGCAGAGGCAGGACAGAAACCCAGGGCAUGCAGAGCAUCACCACUCAGCCCUCCAUCUCUUCUCCAUCUCCCUUGAAAUGGAGGAUGACAACUGGGACACCAUUGGCCCUAAGGACAAACGGUCCUGAAGAAGGACUGGCAAACUGCUUGGAGUGGCCAUGCCAGAUGGACAGGAAGAGGCUGUGUUCAAGAACCAUGGAGAUGUGGCACAAAGGAACACGUUUCCUGCAGCUGGCUCCAUCCCAUUGCCCUGUCCCCACCACUGGGCUGCAAGGCUGAUUUUAAAAGGACACAUUCCCACCUGCAAGCACAAAGCUCCUCAAAGACCAAGAGCAGAGCAGACACAAGCUGCUCGGUGCUGGCUGUCAGCAAAGCUCAGUGGCUCCAGCCCUGCAGGACUCCUGAAAGUCAGUGCGGACUGCCUGGCCGAGCUGCAGGCACGCACGGUGGUAGUAAUGCGGCAGUGAAUCAGACCCUUCGUGUUUUGUUUAAAUAUAAACAUAUUGAAUCAGUGCUUUUUUGUGAGGAAGGCUAUUCUCGCCAGCCAAGUGUUUUGACAGCUACAGCAAGGUGGUAUGAGUCACUGCCUCCGCCUCAGCCAGCCUUGGAGACAGAUACAUCUUAAUCACAUUACAUUUUUUCAACGCCUCACCACAAUCCCAGGCACGGGGCCAACCUUCCCCCCAGGGAUGGAGCGGUGGAUCCUGAGUGCGAAGUUUGCCCUCCCCUCCCGGCCAAGCCCGGCUGCUCGGAAUGCACACAGCAGCGCAGCGGCUCCCGCUGCCAUUAGCGCUAAUGGAAGUUGGGAGCAUAAAUCCCAUGUGUGGCACUGAGGGGAUGGAGGCUGCUGCCUCCCGGAUCUCCCCAGCACAGCUUCAUGGGGUCUUUAACUGUACUUUCAAAUACAUGCCCGUUCCUACUCCUUGCUCUGGGAAUAAUUACAGCGCUGCGUGGACCCACAGAGUUAUUAGGCAUGUUUGGGCAGAGGGUUAUCUUAUCUAAAUUGAAAUGGAAAUUGAUUUAUAGCAUGGCAACUUCACGAUCAAGCUGCAAAUGGCACAAAAUAGUCUUCACCUGCCCCAGGGUCCCCCAUCACACAGAGAUAGAGCCUCUCCACAGUAUGAAUUAGAGCUGAUGGUCCCAGGAGGGCUGCAGGUCAGCCCAGAUAGGGGGUUUAGUAAAUGACUGAGCAGCUGAGAGAAAGCAAAGACUGUGCUUUCCCACCUCAGGCAAUGGAAAGGGGACUGCCAGCCCCGGGUCUGCAGGUUGUACAGAGAGCUGCUCUGGGUGCCUCUGUUUUUCCCACCUUUUCUGGGGAAGAGGACAUGUCCCUGCAGUGCAGUGCUGCAGUGCUGGGGCUGGAGCAGCUGCUGCUCUCAGUGCAUCACUGCAGACGGCUGCAGGGGAAACUCGGGGGCUCAUUGGGUGAGCUGGAGCCAACAGCACCGCACACCUAAAAUGUGCCGGUGCCCCAUGGAGCUUCCUACCACAGCACAAGGGGGUGGAAGUGCAAGAGAGCUGGCUGAGAUGGAGAGUACCUCUGAGCAUCUCCUGCAUGCACAAAUAGAAAACCCAAUGCUUCUGAGCAUGCAGAGAUGGGUAUUUAUUAUCAGCAGGAGAUAUGACUUUGACAUGGCUGGAGAUACUGCUGCGUCCUUGCAGCUGCCAUCAAACUGCAGUGAUGAAUUCCCCUGCCUCUAACCUCAGCCACACUGCAAUCACAGAGUGCUCAGCUGAAACCCUGCUCUGAUUUCACAUCACACUGCUGCAUUUCUCAGGACAAGCAGCCUCAGGUCCAGUUAGUAACACAAACCACCAAAACACGGGCAGAGAACAUGUGAAUGGGAAACACUGUGAAGCCCAUGGGUUUCACGUGGACUGACAAUUGCAGAGGGUAGGGAUGGAUCUCCCACUCCCCACCUGGGCACAGAAAUCCCCCUUGAUUAUCCGAGGGAAGGUAGCAGCCUUGCUACUGGCUGGAGCUGUGGCUUUGCACUUUAAAACUGCCUUCUUCUGGGGCUUCUAAUUGCUUUAUAAAUCUCCCUAGUUCAUCUGUGGGCAUGCCUGUGUGCAAGACACAGGCAUCAGGAUAGCUCUCAUGAGUGCAUGAAAACAGAGACAUGGUGAUGGGAU